rnacentral:rRNA from 1 species
UACGUAGGGGGCAAGCGUUGUCCGGAAUCAUUGGGCGUAAAGAGCGUGUAGGCGGUCCGAUAAGUCCGCUGUAAAAGUCAAGGGCUCAACCCUUGAAAGCCGGUGGAUACUGUCGGGCUAGAGUUCGGAAGAGGCGAGUGGAAUUCCCGGUGUAGCGGUGAAAUGCGCAGAUAUCGGGAGGAACACCAAUGGCGAAGGCAGCUCGCUGGGACGUUACUGACGCUGAGACGCGAAAGCGUGGGGAGCAAACAGG